UCUUCCCCCACAGAUCUCUCAGGUGUUCUAAAUAAAAUCAAGACCAUUUUGAGAGAUCUCAUGCCUGAAUCGUGGGCCAAUCUCAUUUUUAGUGAUCAGAGGUAGAGGUUACAGGAGGAGAAGAUUCUUUAAACUACCACAGCAGGCUUUCCUUGGGUCUGUCUUUUUUUGAGGUAUUAAAAUGUGAAUUUUUGUCCUUUAUUUCAUGCUGGCAGAGACCCUGAUGGAUAGUUAUGGGUGAAGUGUUUGGUCUGUGAUUCAAUUAGAAAAAUGAGUUGCUGAGUUGAAAUGCAGGCUUUUAAAGUCUCUUGGUGGGUAACCAGAUCUGUGGGCACCCUCUGAGUGUCCCAUCAGUUGCCUGGCAGAACAGUGGCAUCAUCCUCAGUGGAAAUGGCUUCAAGAUCUCUAUCAAAAGCUGCCUGCAGUGGUAGUGACUCCCUCCUGGUCUCCUUCUCUGCAAGAGGAAGUGUCAGCUUGUGGAGCAGUGCCCUCGAGUCACCCGGGAACAGGAGAAGAAAUCUGCCUUGGCAAGAGAUGCCUGCUUCCUCUGGGAACCUCCUGGAGGCAUCACAAGCUAUUCCCUAGAAAGUCAGCAAGUGGAAUGGCCCAGAGCCAGCUCUGUGGCUUUGGAAUCGCCAAGCUUUGUGACCCAUGGAGAAAUGGGAGCCUCCGGUCACUGGAUGCAAACACUGUCACCGUCUCUGAGAUCUGGAGAGAGGCUCUCUUCAGGCUACUGUGGUUCUCAUUUCUCUGUCGCUUUGCC
rnacentral:lncRNA from 1 species